UACGUAGGUGACAAGCGUUGUCCGGAUUUACUGGGCGUAAAGAGCGCGCAGGUGGUCGUUCAAGUCGAGUGUGAAAGCCCCCGGCUCAACUGGGGAGGGUCACUCGAUACUGAUCGACUUGAAGGCAGGAGAGGGAAGCGGAAUUCCCGGUGUAGUGGUGAAAUGCGUAGAUAUCGGGAGGAACACCAGUGGCGAAGGCGGCUUCCUGGCCUGCUCUUGACGCUGAGGCGCGAAAGCGUGGGGAGCAAACAGG
rnacentral:rRNA from 1 species